CACGUAGGUAACCUGCCGCGCAGAGGGGGAUAACGACUGGAAACGGUCGCUAACACCGCAUGGUACUGGAUGCACGGGAGUGCGUCUGGUUAAAACUUUGGUGCUGCGCGAGGGGCCUGCGUCCGAUUAGCUAGUUGGUGAGGUAAAGGCUCACCAAGGCGAUGAUCGGUAGCUGGUCUGAGAGGAUGAUCAGUCACACGGGAACUGAGACACGGUCCCGACUCCUACGGGGGCAGCAGUGAGGAAUAUUGCGCAAUGGACGCAAGUCUGACGCAGCAACGCCGCGUGGAGGAUGAAGGU
rnacentral:rRNA from 1 species